GUGUUGGGAGCAAUGCUACAUAAUUCUAGGGAUAAAUCAUUUGGUUAGCCUAGUUCUCUUGCCUACAGCCCAGCUACAGAAUAACUCCAGUUUGGCCUCCGGUCACAACUGAGACUUCAGUGAUCCAGUGAUGCUGUGAUUCUCCAGGACAAGAAACAUCCUGGGAGAACAAACAUCUGCUCAGUUCCUCAUUGUUCUUGGACUGAUUAACAUCUCGUUUACCGGAGAUGUACUGAACUCUCUGCAAGCCUUCCGUUACACCUUGUUUAUCCCAAUGUGAACUAUUGAACUCUCUGCAAGUCAUUUGUUACAUUUGUUUCUCCGGAUGUACUGAAUAAAAGGUGUGGUAAGCUGGGGGCUUUGUCUUUGCUGCCCAGAGCAGCACUCAUCAGAACCAAAGCUCAGCUUCUUCUCAGUCUCAUUUUUCUACCUUUCCUGUAAUUCGCUGUGUGCUGCCGUGGCUUGCAGGAGACCAGGACUAACUGCAGAGGUUCUGGUAAUGUCCCCUUCCCCUGUCCCCUACAUUUGGUGCCCAACGUGGAUGUGAAUCGGAUCCAGGGGUGAACUCACCUGUGAGACAAACUUGGAGUAAGAGAGACAGCACACGGAUCUCCCAGGACGAUUUCCGGACUAGGACGAGGGACACCAGUGGUAAGUGUGUCCAGCUGGGGGUAAUUUUCUAUCUUUGCUGAGUUAUAACUAUGGGUCAGUCUCUGUCCACAGAACAGCGUAACUUUGCCAAAUUACUUAAGUUGCUGUUAAAGCAAGCUGUGUACCCAGUACCUAAGGGUGCUGUGAAGAUUUGUUAAAAGACAUGCAAAUGUAUGUCCCAUCUUUUCCCCAGGAAGGGACAGCUUAACUUAAUAUCAUGAGAACGUGUAGGUACCGCUCUCUGUGAGGCCUGGCAAAGGGGUAAUUGCCUCUCCCCUGACCGCUCCCCACUUGGGCCUUAGUCCACUGAGGUCAGAGUUGCUAGCCAUUAUAUUUGUGAUUGAAAACUUCCCUCCCCAACCUCUUAAUAUUUUAAAUGAUUCCUCUUAUACAGUUUGGUUGACUCAAAGACUAAGGAGCAAUGGUCUACUCUACCUUAGAACCUAAAUUAUUAAACUUGUUUUUAAGAUUACAAAAGGCCAUAUGUCAAAAAAUUCCUCCUGCCUUAAUAACGUGGGGGAGAGGUUUCGCCUGUGCCCUAACAGAUAAUGAAAAAAAUCUUGUGGCUGCCCUCCUGGAAUGUGAGACCGUGGGUCACGCUGGUGGAACCGCCAACAUCUCACAGAAUCAAUGAUAGCACCCUGGCUGAAAGCGAUGAGCCAGCUGCACCUCAGGGACCCACCUCACCAGCGACAACCAACAAAUCCAUGGCAGGGUCCAGGACUGAGAUGAUGCCCCCAGAGGAAUGAUAAUUAUAGAUUUAUGGUAAAAAAUUUAUAAAGGUGGGGGACAACUUCAAAAUGCUCCUUUUAUAUUUACAGGUAUAAAAGCGCUUUCAUUCCUUCUGAUUAUAAUCUCGAGAUCUCUGUUAAUUGACUAUUCCAAAGUUUUUGACCAGUCAUACAAUUAUAAAUCUAAUAAUCAUAAAAAGGAUAUUACGAUUCAAUUUGGCUAAAUAUAUUUGCUUGCACUCUGAUUUUGUAAAUUGUCUUAUAUGUUUGUCUGUUGUCUGUUUGUCUGUUUGUACAGUUGAGCUCAAUUUUUUUUUUCUCUUUUUCUUUUCACCUUUUGAAAAAAAAAAUUUUUUUAAAGAUAUUCACCUAUUGUUAAAUUCGCUUACAGGUAAAUGUUACUAAAUUAAAGGCAUGCCUUCCUUCCCAGGUUGCUAACUGAUCAAAGUGCCACUGAGAUUUAUUUUAUAAAAGUAAUGUAUAUUGUCACCUACAUGCAAUAAUCAAAUUGCAAUAAGCAGUUGUAAAAUAGGAAGAUAUAUAUAUUCUUAUUCUUUGUUUGUCAAAAUAGAGACUGUGGGUACUCUCUUUGGUGAAUAAACAAGUGGCCACCCAGAAAAUAAUUAUUCUGGUCUUAAUUCACUAAAGGGACCCCCUAGUAAUUUUUAUAAUCUUAUGGGAGACACACCACAACAAAUAUUGUCUCAAUGUGUUAUUAUAAAUUGAUUACAUUGGUUAUCAUUGAAGUUUAAAUUCUAAAUAUGUUAUAAAUUGAUUACAUUGGUUAUCAUUGAUGUUUAAGCGCUAAAAAUGUGAUUGUAAAAUGUUUACAUUGGUUAUGUUCUGAAUAUGUUAUUGUAAUAUGUCCACAUUGGUCAUCUUCAAAAGCUUAAUUUCUGUGUCAUAAACAAGAGUGUUAUUAGAAAGAUGGUUUUGGUACCAAACCACAGUGAAGAAAAUAAGGUUUUAUGUAACUAUGAUAUUUAUUACUGCUCCUUUUCUGGUGUACAAAAUGUAUUCAUGCCCUCUAAUUGUAUGGGUCUUCUAACAUUGUUUAUGGUAAUAACCUUUUGAUUCAGGUAUUUGCCCUUUUCUUAUGCUCCAGCCACCUAUGAAAAUAGGCACACUUGUAGGUUGAUAUAUUUUCCUUAGAUGAUGUCCUAUAAAAAGAUAGCUACUCAGGGAUCCAACCACAACAGCAACUGUCAUUGGCAAUAAUAACAGUUUAACUAUAUUUUUAUUCCAAAAUGCUUAUCUCCAGGUAAAAUUAUAACAGUUGAGUUCACUACUCCUCUUACAAUGCUAAUGUUAUUGAUCUUCUCUUCUGGGUGUUCAACAACCAAAGUUUAGAGACCAAAACUGAAGAGGUAUUUGGGCUAAGAAGGCAGCCAAUAUUUUGGCCCUGGCCCUCCAAGGUCAACAACAAUAACAAAAAUAUCCAGGAUAUGAGGGAACCAUCUCUGAGAUCCUGCAUUUUUGGUGAGUCAUCCAACCUCCUGAGCAGGGAGGUUGCUGAACACCAAAACAGUAAAGAUCCAACAAAAAGUGUGCCAAAGGAAUGUCACCUGGAGGAAAAAAUCUCCCAUGCUUUCGCAGGAAGCAACAUGGUCAAGCAAGGCCGUGACAUAUCCUGAUGGGUGACACUGACAGAGGAGCUAAGAGGCUCUAUGCGUGGUUCCAAGACAGUGCCUGUGGAGACUUAAUUGACCUUGUUAGAUAACAAGAGAUUGAUUUUAUUUAAUAUAGGUUUCACCGUAACUUGAUCUUAAACACCCAGUAGAAAAGUAUAACUAAAGACAAUAGUUAUUUGAGUUCAACGAAAGUUUUAAGUUUUUAAACCCAAUGUUUAAAAACAAAUUGUUAGAUUUUUUAAUCCUUUUUCAGCCCCAAUUAAGAAAAAUUAUGCUUAUUAUAGACAGCUGAGCCAGUCAAACUAUAAAUCCUCACACUACAUAGGGACAAGCCAUUGUUGGGUGUGCUUGCUUUUCAAUAAAACUCCUUCACAUAAAACAAAAAGAAAGGGAGAUAUGUUGGGAGCAAUGCUACAUAAUUCUAGGGAUAAAUCAUUUGGUUAGCCUAGUUCUCUUGCCUACAGCCCAGCUACAGAAUAAUUCCAGUUUGGCCUCUGGUCACAACUGAGACUUCAGUGAUCCAGUGAUGCUGUGAUUCUCCAGGACAAGAAACAUCCUGGGAGAACAAACAUCUGCUCAGUUCCUUAUUGUUCUUGGACUGAUUAACAUCUUGUUUACCGGAGAUGUACUGAACUCUCUGCAAGCCUUCCGUUACACCUUGUUUAUCCCAAUGUGAACUAUUGAACUCUCUGCAAGUCAUUUGUUACAUUUGUUUCUCCGGAUGUACUGAAUAAAAGGUGUGGUAAGCUGGGGGCUUUGUCUUUGCUGCCCAGAGCAGCACUCAUCAGAACCAAAGCUCAGCUUCUUCUCGGUCUCAUUUUUCUACCUUUCCUGUAAUUCGCUGUGUGCUGCCGUGGCUCGCAGGAGACCAGGACUAACUGCAGAGGUUCUGGUAAUGUCCCCUUCCCCUGUCCCCUACAAUUCUGAUUGCUCAACAUAUACCUCUUCUCUCAUUUUACAGCCCUGCUUAUGAUACUUGUUAUCAGCAGGAGACCCAAAGGCUGCACACCUUCCCUCCUUCCCAUUCUUGUAAUGAAUAAACACUGGACAUCUUUGGUGUUCUUUGUCUUUGCUGUUCAGAGAAGAUCAGAUCAGCCAAAGACCCAACUUCACUGAAGUCUCUGUCUCUGUGUCUUUAUUCUCUCUCUCUUUUCUAUCUCAUGGAUGUCAUACUGGCUCAUAGGAGAUCGAGACCCAUGGCUGGGGAUUUUGAUAAUCCCUCUUAUAGUUUCAGAUUUACUCCCAUGAUAGUAGAUAAAAUAUUCUAUUAUAGGAUGGCUACUGCACUUUUAAAUUACCUUUUGUUUCUAUCAUAGUGUAAGUCCAGGCUGUAUCUGUUUAAUUAAGCAUCAUGUCUACCAUAUUCCUGGGGACUGGUUAGGUGUAAGUACUUAUGCCUUAAUUAAAUGUGUUUGACACAGUCAAUAUGAAAUCUAACAAUGCUGAGAAAUUAAUUAUAAUAUCUACUCUAUUAAUUUAUUUAUGUUUUAAAGAUGUAACUAAGCUUUGGAAGACAUUCAAAUUUUUAAGAUUUAUAAGUCAGAUAUGAAGUUUCCUCUAAAUACAAAUACAAGAAAAUAGUUUAUAAGAAAUAUUAUUUGUUUUUUUUAACAAGUCUUAAUUAAUCUAAGCUUAUGUUUUCUAAAACAAGCCUUAUCCAAAGAAACAAAUGAGUGCCUUUUCUGCUUCAGAAUUUCUUUGUAAGAGAGGCUUAGGCUCAUUAAUCAAUUGUGAAGAAAAACUAGGCUGCUUUGAAACUUUGCUUUCAAAUUAAGCCCUUUUUAAAGGUCUUAUGUUAUAUAUUUCUGUUACUAUUGGCAUAAACUGAUAGAAGUUAUGGAAGGGCAUCCUAAAUAAAAAUGGAAAACCAAACAAAACAAAAAUAUUGGCAGUACACUAUUGUUUUAACUCUUGGGUAUAUAAAAUACAAGCAAUGGCAGAAUUAUGCCAUGAAGUGAGCAUAAUAUGCACCUUGUGGUUAGAAUUUCUGCAUUUUUAUAUGGCUAGAAGCAUAGUUAUUCAAAUAAUUCAAGUCUCAAUUAUUUUUUGAUAACAUAUGCAUGAACAUGUAUAAAAAUUCUACUCCAAUCAUAGACCCUGCUUUGUGCCCUUAUUUCUUACAAAAAGCCCAGGAAGAAGGUAAAAACAAGAGUGCUAUUGGACUUUAUAAAUGAUAAUUAGUAUCAUCUGUUCCUUAACAAUUAUGCAUUUUUGUGUUUAAAGGCUACUAUGAUUUAAUAAUAUUGAGGGCAGAAUUAAAUAUCUUUUAAAAACAUUUAGGUAUGCAAAUUUGAGGUAUGGCCAAGAGCUCGAACAGAUGUUUAAAAUUCUAGCUGAAUCUGUUUGUUCAUUCUAAAUAUGUGUACAUAAUGUAUUGUGUGUGUGCCAUUUUAUCAAGCAUAUUUGCAUGUAAAUGUAUGUAUGGCCCUGAUUCUGCCAUCUUUAAUCAUGCAAAACUACCAGUGGCUUCUGGUGGAAUUAGAGACAUAUCAGUUGGGGCACAAUUAGCCCACAGAGAAGAUCUUAAAAUAGCUAGAGCAACUGUGUCUGUAUUAGUUACUUUUGUCUUUGUUGAAACAAAACACUUGACACUCACAAGUAAAAGGAGAAAAGAUUUAUUUUAGCUCACAGUUUGUCAAGGUUUCAGCCCAUAAUUGCUUGGCUCCAAGGCAGAGGGGCAUCACAGAGGAGAAACAACUCAUGGUAUGGCAGACAGAGGCAGCAAGCAGGAUCAGCAGCAAGCCUGCCUUUCCUAUCUCACUUUAUAUUCCAUCCAGCAUACAAACCAUCCAGGGUAGGACUUGUAUUAUCUACACCCAUUAUCCCAGUAUUAUACCUUUAAUCCACAUUCUCACACCAUAAAUUCAGCUACCUGUGAAAAGCUCCACCUAUGAGUGCAUGAGGCUUUGGGGAAAUAUCUAGCCACAAGACAUACCAGUGUCUGCUGACAAUAGAUAUGCAGUUAUAAAGCAAUGCUUAUAGUCAAAGAUUGACAAGAACUUCAUAAGCCUAAACAGAAGAUUUAUAAGGGAACCUCUGAGGUAUGAUAUUAAUGUAAAAUUAAUAGAAACUUCAGUUCUUUCUGUUGAUUAGUGUCAUGUUAAUAUUUUCAACCUAUUUGUAUCUAUUUUUAGCAUAAAUUUCUCUUGUUCUUCUCUUGUUACAUAUACCUCAUACAUAUAACUCCCACACAUCUCUAUUAGUGAUUUACUUAAUACGAGGAACCCUGACUUAGAGUCCAUCAAAGUACUCAGAUAAUUUCUACUGACAUAGGUAUAUAGUGCUUAUAGAAAAUAAACUAAUGCAUUUUUAAGCUAUUUUUUCCUUAUAGUUCAACACAAUUUUUACUAUGGUAGGUUAAAUUUUUCUGAGUUUCAAUAAACAUUUUGAUGUUUAGUUAAUCUGUACUGUUUAGUAAAAAUUUUAAAGUGGAUCUCUCUUUAUUUGACAGAUUCAAUUGUUUAAUAAAAAUAACUUAGCAAUUUCUGUUUGCUGGAUAUUUUUAUUGAGGAACAUCUCAAUGUAUUUCACAAUAAAUCCCUUUCAUAUAUCUAUAUUAACAUCUAUAUAAAUGUUUUGAUUUUGUAUCUAUGGAGAACCUUGACUAAUAUAACAUUAAAGCAAUUCUUUCUCCUGAAGAUUAUUUAAAUAUAAAAAGCUCUACUAAAUGAAUAACUCUUUCACUAAGAUAAAAUCAACAAUAAAAUUAAACAGCAGGAAAAGGUACAAACACUGCAAGUAGAAACUUGUAAGCUUUGUCCAAAAUAAGUUCCCAAAGAAUGGUAUAUUCUUAAAUUUAUAUGUUAGAAGAUACAUUUGGAAUAUUUCCUACUUGUAUGUAAUAGUGGACUGCUAAGUGUGUGGAAAAUUCAUGAGACUUUUUAUUGAAAGUUACUAUUAAGAAUAAAUAUUUAAAAUUUCUACACUAGGAUAUUUAAAACAGGUUACAUAUUAUAUCUACUUACUCUGUCUAAAAAUCUGUGUAUAUUUUCCCAAAAUGUGUCAAUCUAACCUACACAGCUCUUAUCCUACUACAGUAUAAAAAGUUCAAAAACGAUGAAUAGAGAUAGUAUAGAAAGUACUUAAAGCAGACCAAUGGCUUCAUAAGACUCUUGAAAUUAUAUUGUGCACAUAGGAUAAGAAAUACUAUUUAUUGGGGCUGAGGAUUUAGCUCAGUGGUUUUGCCACCUGCUGCACAAGUGCAAGGACCCGAGUUCGAUCCCCAGUACCUGAAAAAAAAAAAAGAAAAAAAAAGAAAUACUAUUCAUUUGGCAAAUCUUUUAGCGUAAGGAAGAGUAUGUUUGCAUUAAAAUCAAUGUUAAUUAAAAACACCUCUGAAGUGCUUCUAGGAGUCAUGUUUAAUAUUAUUUUAUUUCUGACAAUUGAAUAAUACAAUUACAUCUAAUAACAACAGUAUAAUAUAUUUAAUUUUAACUAACUAGUAGUAUACUACUGAAAUUUUUUGAGACUAAUUCUAUCACAGAUAUAUUAAGAGGCUAAAGUAGUACAAAACAGUUAUUUUGGUUAAGAAAAUUAUUUUCUCAUUCAUUCAUAUAGAUGAAAGAUUAAUAUGCCUAUCCAUCAUAGAAUUACACAAUGAUGUGAUAAUACUAGAGAAUAUAUUAUAAUGUAUAUUAUAUUGCAUACAUAAUAUAUAGUUAUAUAUAUACUAAAUAUCAUACUUGAGAAUAUAUGUAUGAUAGAUUUAUUUCUUAUAAAUAUAGUAUAGAAUAUAGAACAAACCUUUGCAUUCAGGCAUGUCAACUAUGUAUGUACUCCAUCUCUCUCAUAUGUCCAUAUAAAACAGCCUGGAUUAGACCAAAAGAGCAGUGAUCAUAUAGGUAGCUGGAGGCUUCUAAUAUUCCAAAGAUCAAUGGAGUUGAGCAAUGGUAAGUAUACUGUUAAGAAGUUGAAAUCUACACAGGAGCACAAAACAAAAGGUAAUACUUAUUCAAAUAGACUCAAUGCAAUUUAUUCAUCUUUUUAUGUGAAGAGUUUAUGAAAAAAUGACUCAUUUUCUUUUCCUUUUCCUAAAGAAGGAAAAAAUGAAAACAAAGCUUUUGUGAAUAAGGAGGGGAAGAAGGGAUAAAGGGAGGGUAAUGGAAUGGGAAAACAAAAAGUAUCAAGAUAUAUCAUGUACAGGUACAAAUUCCCUGUGAUAAAUGUAAUUUUUAUGUAUAUCUAAAAUGUACCAAUAAGCUUAAUUAAUAAAAAAUGGAAAAAUGACUUUGCCUAUUAUCUUUAGCAGAUACUAAACUAUCUAUUAUUCAGGUAAUUUAUACUAAAGUUAAUUUCACUUUCCCUGAGCUAUUUCAAAGGGCAACUACACUCUCCCUUUGGUGGAAACAGUUUUUGAAAAGCCAACCGUACAGUUAUACAAUAGAUAUCAUUUUGAACUUUUUGGAAUUUAGUUUUAAAACAGCACAAAAAACAACCAUAAAAGGGAAUAAUAAUGUAUUAGAUUUUAGAGGCAAAUAAAACAAGGUAGGGAGAAAAAAAGUUUUGAAAAGUAGUAUAUAAAGAGUCCACAUCAUGUGAGUUUAAACAAGAAGAAAAAUGCACAUUAUUCUUUUGUAUUUUGUGUCUAUAAUACAACAAAAUAUAAUUAACAAUUAAAAAUUGCAUUUGCUUCUCCAAAUUGUCAAUAUUCUAAAUCUGAUAUCUUUUUCAUCAAACAAUCUUUUUUUCACUUUCUUCUUUAUUCAAUAAAAAAUAGACUUUCCAAAACUCACUGUUACUUUUUGAUUUUUCUUAAGUGUGACUGGCCUGAAGGUGGCAUUGUUGGAGUAGAUCAACUCUUUGGUUGAUUCCUGAUGAGAUGUUGUUACAGUAAAUCAGCUGGUGUGAAGAUGGAAACGUUAUACUCUGGACUCUACUGGAGUUCAUCUCUGCUAUUUGUAUUUUCUUGCCAGGAUUUUCUAAACAAAAUUUUAUUUGCAUUGGAGAAUUGGCCAUUUUAUUUCCCAAAUAUUUGGAAUUAAGUGGCAUGGUCCUGGUUUUGGAUUUUCAUCAACCUUAAAUAAAAAUAUUUAUUAGUAUUAUUAGUAUAAGUAUCAAAACAUUUAUUAUUAAUUAAUUAAUUUAUUUAUUUAUUUUGGUUCCAGUGUUUGAACUUGGGUCCUUGUACUUGUGAGGCCGGUGGCGGAACCACUGAGCUAAAUACCCGGCCCCAAAAUAUUUAUUGGUACAUAUAUAUAUGCAUAUAUAUAUAUAUAUAUAUAUAUAUAUAUAUAGCAUUCAUCAUAGGGAAUUUCCUCCUGUACAUAAUACAUCCUACAUUUUUUUCCCAUUCCCUCCUUCCCCUUAGACCUCCUCCCAUUUAUAUACAAAAAUUUUAUGUCCAUUUUUUCCUUCCAUUAAGUAAAAAUCUUGUGGCCCAUAAAUUGUUUCAUUUUUUAAUUGUGGUAAUCAAAGAUAUUAGCAUAUACCAGUUUCAGGCCUUCAGCAAUCUCUACUGUAAGUUAAUAUAUUUUACUCCUAUAUAAUGUGUCUAGGAUUCAUAUCUUUAGUGAUUGCUGCUCCAUUGGUCUUGUAGCAAACCCCAGCCAUGCAUUCUAUACACUCAUAUUUUUCAUUAUUUUGUUCAAAAGCUGAGUAAAAGGAUCAACUAGAACUCUUUUUGCUUUGAUGCAAUAUUUUCAGGGGCAUGUUCCUCAGCUGUCAUUCCUUUUCAGUUUGGUGUGCAUGGUUGCCUGUUUGUACCUUGAUCACCCUUCAGUCUUUCUUCCUCGACACUCCAGAGUCAAGGAAAUUCCAGGGAUCUGAUUUUAAGAAGAGUUCACUGGUUCAGCCUCCUUGGGUGACCCAGCCACUUCAGCUCCCUCUGUGCUACUCUUUUUUUAAAAUUAUUAUUAAUUUUAUUGGUACAAUUAAGGUAUAUUGCUGCUGUAAGAAAUGAGAACCCAGGUGAUCCUGAUAUAGGGGAAGAGAUGUAAUUUCCAAACCUCCUAGAUAUCCAAAACGUGAGUUCCUGUUCUCUAAAAUUGAAGAAUGAAUUCUAGGAACAAUGAAGUUUAAGAGUAGCAAAAAUGUAUUGGGAGAAAGAAAGCUUCUUCCUAAGAGAGAUAGAAGGGGGACUGAAAAGUGGGUUGCCUGCCCACCCCACUUUUCAAAGAUGUUUUAUGCAGUAAAGCCAUGCGGUGAGGUGGGUACGAAGUGGGACAAAACUAUAAGAUCCAAUGGAAAUUUACAAAGUGGGCAUUAGGUGGGACAAAAUCAUGACCAACCAAAAAGAUUGCAAGUACAGUCACCCAGGUAAUAUUGAUUAAAUGGGGAUCAAAUGGGAAGACAAGUCACAUAUAAGGAAUUUCCCAUUUAGAAUAUCAAUCACUGCUAUCUAUCCCCAGGGGAAGUAAUACUUCUUUUCCUUUUUAUAAUGCUAACCAGUGAAUAUGCCUCAAUUGUUCUCCAUGUUGGUUCCUUGCAGUGUUGGCUCCAGGAGGCCUGGUGCCUUAAGGGAGGCCCUGUCUGCCUGACAAUAAGAUAUCUAAUUAACUUACCUAUCUAUAAUAAUCCCACCCAGGGGCCACUUUAUGGACUUCAGCAGCUGUUCAGUGAAACAAUUAAUUUCAGCAUUACAGAGUUGUAUUAUUUCCCUAAAAUGGUGAUUACAUUCUUUUCUGGUUUUCAUUCAUUUGUUUGAUAGCUUCAAUGACAAAAAAGCAUCAUACAUCUCUUGUUGUACCAUAUUAAAGCCCAAAGUCUUACUGUAGCAAUACUAAAAAUCAUCUGUUUUUGCUCUUCAGUCAGAUUUUACAUCCUUGAAAUAAAUGUCAGAUAACUGUGCCCACAACCCAAGUAGAAUUUUAUUUGAAGUAGAUCCUAAAAAAUGUACACCUUUUAAAUUUCUUCUCAUCUACUUUAAAGGAAUAAGGCAUUUGUACAAAGUAAAAAUACUCUGAAUUGUUUAUCAUGUCCUGUAAGCAAGAAUAAGUCAGUAUAAAUCAAGUGAUAGCUAUGAAAUGUAUAUUUAUUCCAAAAGUUAUCUGGCAAGUAUUAUUGACAAAUAAAAAAAUUUAGCCAUAAAAAGGUAAAAUCACAUACCUCAAAGGGUACCAGUAAGCACUUCCCUUCUCACUUACCUCUACAAUGCCAAACUUGUAAGUGAAACUUAUGCUGUUUUGUUUGACACUAUGUUUUAAACCAUUUCAUUUGUAAAAACUAAAUUCCUAAAAUAUAUAGUAGGUAAGUCUAUACUCUAUUGGCUCAACAAAAAUUAAUUGGAGUUUUCUCUAUGAGCUCGGUAGUAUUCUAAGCAGUAAAGAGGCAUUAAGGAAUGAAAGGGAGAGAAUAUAAAUUUUUUUAAAUUUUAAUAUUUUUAUUAGUACAUGUUUGCAGUACAUGUAGAGCAAUAGAUGUAGAAAGCUGGUACUUGUUUUUUAUACCCUACCCUUCUUUUCCUUCCUUAAUCCUUCCAACACUUCCCCUUCCCAUUUGCAAAAGCUCUAAUUUCUCCUUUAAUUUUCCCAUUCUGUUUUUCUCUCCUCCAUCCAUCUCUUGCUCCACCAUCUACUGGGAAAUAUCUUUUAUCUUCUAUUUUUCUUUCUCUCUCUCUCUUAUAUACUUAUAUAGUAUGUAUAUAUGAGAAAUCAUUUGAUUUUUAACCUGGUUGUCUGACUUAUUUCACUUAAUAUUAUGAUUUCAGUAAAAUAACAGAAACAAACAAUUAGUAAAAUAAAAAGUAAGUUGACUCUGGACAUAUUUUCUAUAAAAAAGAAAGAAAGUAAAAUUGAUAUUUGAUUGAAUUCUAGCUAUUGUAUUGUCAGAAAAAGCUUCAGUGAAAAUAUGCAAAGUAGGAUAAAGUACAGGAGAAACUGUGGCUAUGUAUCAUGUUAAAUUGUGUUCCAAGAAACAAAUACCAUUGUUUUCUAGGAUAUAAUGGCCCCUAGGACAGUAAGCCUCAACUACAUUGAGAUACAUAAAAUGUUGAAAUACAAAAUUUAUUUUAUUGUCACAACAUGGGCUGUGAUUGCUUCAGGUAGUUACUAAGUAGAGGUUACUGUUCCAUAGGACAGGUCCCUACAAUAAAGAAUAAUCCAGCCAUAAUUAGUAAUGCUAAUAUUUAUAAUGACUGUUGUAAGAUGGUAAUUUAUCUUUUCUUUCAAACAUGGCAAGGAGGCUAGGGGGCUGGAUCACAAUGAGAUAGUCACAGACUGCCAGCUAUUGGAGCCAAUUUAAUAAGAUCACUGCAUGCUGUCACAAAAAUGGUGUUGGAUGAGAAGACUGGGUGACAAAGGGAAGAGGUUGUGACAAGUAUUGAGGAAAACAUGAUGUCCACUUGCAUCUGUGGCAUAAUAGUGGAGCAAUGAGCGGUGGUCCAAUCCUGAAUAUGUUGUGCCCAGAUUGCGUAGUCCCAAAGACCACCAGGAAGCCAAUCCCGAUGUAAGCACACGAGGGUCAUUUAUUCAAGCUCGAGCAGGGGCUCUCAACUGUCACCGACGCAGUGGGUCGAGAUUGAGAGCCCCAAAUUUCAAAUUAGCGGGACUUUUAUAGAGGUUACAGCAAGGUUUGGAGAUUUUCCACUUAGCAGUUACAUGAUUGGUUGACAAUUAGCAAGCAUGAAGUGUACAUUUCUGAUUGGCUAGGUGCAUCAGGGGUUGAGGGGUGGCUACAUGUAGGUUUUACAAGGGAAAAGAGGGACAAAGGUUAGUGGCCGACUGUCACGUACUGAUGGUCAGCAGACACACUGACUAAUAGUCACGACCAUUACGUGCUUACAGUCAGCACAUCUACAGAUUGUUCUAUAGAUAGAGGGCCCGGAACGUUCAUUUCCUGGGCAAACAGAUGGCUGAGUAAUUACCUCAGGAAUUUUGCUUCAUUACAGAUUGUAUCUUUUGUCCCAAAGUAAGCACAUUUUAACCAUUAAUUUGUGAGAGACUAGGGGAAUGGUGGAUUUUAGCAAAAUGGAGUCGCUUUGGUCUCACAAAUAUAUUUGAGGGUAAAAUAAAUACGACUUUCUGAGCUGAACUUGGGAGUGGGGAUGAGGCCAAAGGGACAGAGAAAAAGCCAGUAGCAAUUGAAAUAGACUUGCCAUUAACUGAGAGGAGAACACCUUCCAUCGGAUGUCCUUGCCUUUAGGAGCUGAGCUCUAUUGUAUUAGUUUUAAAAUAAGCAUAUUUAUGUAAAUAUAUUUGAAUAUCUAUGAUUGUCCCUAUAUUUCACAAGCUGUAAAACAUCCAAAAGGGGAAAUUCAAGGUUUGGAGAGAGUUUAGAUAUUUAAUUUAGGGUUAUUAGGCAGUAGUUGAGGAAAUUAGAAUUACCACACUGAAAGCUGUGGUAGAUUCAAAUUUGAGGGCUUGUUAUUUGGAAAAAGUAAACUAAUUAUUCAGAAGUGUUAAAACAGACUCAAAAAAAUGAGAAGAAAUUUGAGAUAGCAGAUUAUAUUUUAAAAUAAUGAAAAGAAAUUGAAGAAUAGGGGCUCUACAAUACUAAAACUGUUGGGUCUUUUUUUGUUAUUAGCUGUUCACGCUGAAUGUGAAAGGUUUUGUUUGGGGAAUAAUGAGAGAUAUUUGUCUCUUGGGAGAGAUAUGAGGUUCUUUGGAGUGUGUGUUUUUUUUGUGUGUGUGUUUUGUUUUGGCACCCAGGAUUGAACUUGGGUCCUUGCGCUUGCGCAGUAGGCGGCAAAACCACUGAACUAAAUCCCCAGCCCGAUAUGAGGUUCUUAAACACUAAACACCAUCAUUGCUAUUCACUGUUGUGUUCACAAGUCAUCAAUGCACCAUAAUAAAUUUUGUAACCAUCAAUGAAUAUAGAAAAUAGAACAAUUAUUUUGCACAAUAUUUUGUAACAAUAGGAUCUCUCAUUUGCAGACAUGAGUUGUAGUUUAAUCAAAUGAUUCAGGUUCAGUAAAGGCAUCUUUGUUUGAUUUUUAAUGAAUAUACAUAGCCAUUUUUUAGAAAUUUGCACAGGAGUAUGAUAAAUCUCACCCAAAUAGAAUAACUGCAGCAAUUCUUUUCCCAGGUGCUGUCCUGAAGAGGGUUACACCUUCUAGACACAGAAAUACCUGACAGAGCUCAUUUUGUUAUUUUUCUCCAGUCAGCAGUACUUAACAAUUUUGUUUAAAGAUAACUAUGAUCUGGAGAAUAUUGUACACUUUGUUCUCCAUUUUAAAAUGUGCAAAUAUGAUUUGCUAGUUUCUAGUUUUUGCAAUUAUUAACUUUUUCUUCAAUGAGAAAUGUAAUUACAGCUAAAUUCUGUAACACUUGUCAGGAAAUUUAAGAAUGCCUCCAGCAAUCUGAAACUACUUGAGCUGCAUUGAGCUAUUUUAGAAAAUAAAUUGAUACAAUUUUUGUGCAUUCCAGAGGUGUAUGACCUUAAGGGCAACUGGAAAUUUUAAGGGAGUACUUUGUUAUUCAGAAUGGAAGAGUACAUCAAAAAAUCAAUAGCUAAUAAUUACCAGUGAUGCUGUUUUGUUUUGUUUUAAUUACAUGAGUUUGUUAUAAAAUAUAUACAUAGAUUCAGAAAGUUGCUGGUUCCAUUAUUUUCAGGAUGAUAAUCAUUUCUUUUUGAGGACCUUGCUCUGUACCUAGUUUUCCUUCUUUAAAAAUCAGGACUAUAGUUGGCUGAUAAGGAAAGACUUUAGGCAUUUUUAUCAGUUUAUACGUUGGCAAGCCUGACUUUUGUGACAGGUAAAAGAGAUACCACCCUAAAUCCUGAUUCUCCUUGCACAAUUGGUUCAUCAUUUUGACAGGCAAAUCAACCCAAAAGGCAAGAAAUCUAUUUUUGGAUGUGGCAAGUUCCCUUAUUUCUUUUUCUUUUUCUUUCUUUCUUCCUUUUUUUUUUUUUUUUUUUUUGAUUGUGCAUAAAUUGUUAAAAAUGGUUGGAAACACAGACUAGAAACCUGUUUUAUGAUUUUGUACUAUUUGGGAAAGUCAGAAUAAUUCCUAUUACAUGGUGGGAAAUAAAGUGGGCCUAUUCCAUAUCAGAUUUCUCAUACAUGUCAAGCAUUCUCAGGAAAAACAAUUGUACAAUUAAGAUUUGAAAUCCUUUCCAGCAAAAAAAGCAAAAUCCUGAAGAAAAAUAGUGACUUAGUUAUUCAAAUUCUUCCUUAAAUAAAAAAUAUUUUUAAAAUAUAUUAAUUUGAAUAAGUUGUGUUAUCUCUCUGGACUCCAGUUUUCUCAUUUGUAAAAUAGAGAUAAUAAAAAUAGGCCCUAUCUAUGUUCCAGGGAAGAAGGUUUGAAUAGGAUACAUAACUUGGUGAUAGUCAUGAAAUCAGAAACUGUCUAAAUAGCCUUUAUGUCUAAUCUUUUAUGUCUUAACUCUUUACCUGUUUAUCAUAGUUGCAUAAUUGUAUUUUUAUUUUUAUAUCAUAUGGCCACUCUUCACUUAUUAGUUGAUAUUGUUUUGGGCAACACGUGAAUUUGUGGAUCUCUUCCUCCUUGAAAUGCUCAUUUCUCAUGGUUGGGUUCAGCAUCAUUCCCUCCUCUGAACUUUCCUCCUCCCCUAUUAUUGAUUGUUAUAAUGAAAGAUUCUCUUGUGAGAUGUUUACUUACUUUCUCUUAAUAUAUUAUUACUUGGCUAAUCUGUGAUUCCAUCCCUUUUUGGAUAUAAAAGCACAAUCACUACUUCUGUUCAGUUCUCUAAUCACAGUCCAUUUACUUCCCCUAAAUUCUAUAUAGACAGUAGUAUCCUAAAGAUUUCAAAUUGGCUCUCCCAGGCAUCUGGACUUAUUUUUUAUAGAAAACCUAUACUGUAACUACCUUCCCUGUAUCAAUGAUGAAUAUUAAUUUGUGCAAUCAAAUGUAGGAACUGGAGCAUUCCCAUUCCUAAAUCUUUCAUUACAACAAUUGUUUUGGUGAUUUGUUCCCUUUAGCACCUCAAAAUUAGUGCCUGUUUUAAGGACAAGGUAACAUGUAAGAGCAAUAGAAAUAUUUACAAUGGUAAUAGUUGACCCUUAUCAACACAAUGAGAUGAUAGUUUCUUGUUGUUUUCCAAAGCAAAAUGAAAUCCAGACUUUGACUUGGAAGAUGUUUGUUAACAGCUGGAAUAAUCAGUAACUCCGCAGAACCUGAGCCACACCAUCUGCUUUUCUUAGCUGUACAUACACCUUCUUUGUUUCUGAGCACAUUCUCAGAUGGGCCUCAUGACUAAACUUCUGCUUGCAAACAAGAAAGAUAAAAGCUUUUAGAGCUUGACCAGAAGGAGGUGAUAUAUGGAACCAAUCUUUGACCCAGGUCACUCAAGUCAAUUUUCUUUAUUAAUGAGAGUGUUACAGUCUAUGGAUCUCAAUACUUGUUAUUCAAAGAGAACUCUAAAGAACUUAUUCUGAAAAUGUGAAGAAAACUCACCCCUAAACACAAUUGCUACAAAACAGUGACUAGUAAAAUUAAUACUAUAUGAUUUUAUUUCAGGUAGCAGAAAUCAACUGAGAAUGGCUGCUGUGCUUUCAAUAUUAUGCAGCUGGUAUGUCAAGAGGGCAAAGAAGUAAUCUGCAAGUGAUACUAGCAAAGAUCAUCUAAUUGAUGAGAAGUUAAUUUUGAUGACUUACUCCAAAAAAGACUGUCCCCACUGCAGAGGACAGAAGAAAGGAACAUACCACAUGGGCAGAUGUGUAUCUUCUGUAAUAAAUACAUUCUAAGCACAUAAAAUCAGCCCAAAGAGAACAUCCCAAUGCUGCUGACAAAGAAAACUUUGGGGAUUAUGUAUAUCUCCUUUUCUUUUUUCUUUCUUUUCGUUAGGAUAAAUAUCUGUUAGGAAUUAAUGCAUUGGAAGAGGAAAAUAAGGUAAUCUGCCUACCAGUUCACCAGAUAUUCUUCUUCAAUAAGUCUUGUAUGCCAACUAUGGUUCCCCACUCAGAUUCCAGUUUGCAGCACUGGAAAGCAACAACAGCAGCAACACACUACUGGAAAGUUUAUUAGUAUACUCCAUUGUGAUUUGAGGAACUAUGCCUAAUUUAUCAUGAUAUUCUAAAAUCCAUCAUAAUACCUAAAAACAUUGGGUGUUUAAUGAAAUCUUUUUCAUCAAGACAGUAAUUAAAGAAUGGGAACCUAUUUUCAAAAAAAAUUCUAGCUUCUAUGCUAGUUAUAAAAUAGCACUAGUAAUCCAAAUAAGUAAGUGUUUGGAUUUAAUAAAUUCAGUCUGGAUCGAAUGUAACUAUAAUACUUACAUAUGAAUGAAAGAUCACCAUUGUGGUAGAUAUGCUAAAUACCACAGGCUGAUUGGUUAAAAAACAGAAUUCUAUACUUCUUAUCCUGGAGCCGGAAAAUCUGAGGCCCAAGUGCCAGCAGAAUCAGUUCCUGGACAAGGCUUUCUUCUUGGCUUGUAGGUGGUCAUCCUCUUGCUGUUUCCUCCCAUGGAGGAAAGAGAUAUCUGACAUCAUUUCUUCUUUUGAUAAGCCAUCAUGAUGGCUGCAUUGUCAUGAUCAUUUCUACACUUAAUGUCCUCUCAAUGACUGAUGCCCAAAUGGAAGCACACUAGGAAUCAGGCUACAACACAUGAAUUUUGGAGCAAACUUAAUUUCCUCUCUAGUACUCUCUAUAUUUAAAAUCUGCUUCAUAAACUUUCUGUCUGAAGACAUUUGUAUCUGUCUGCUAUAAGACUUUUACUUUAUAACCAUAUGAUCAAACAAAACUUAAAUAACAAAAAUAUAAGGUAUUCUAUGCUGGAUAAAAUUUUACAAUGUAUUCAAUUGUGAAGCAGGAAAGAAACGGAUGUGACAUUUUAAAUCCAAUAUAUACUAUGUUAAAGAAGCAUCAAAUCAUUUUUAAUAACAUACUCUCUUGCCAAAAAAGUAAAUAGUUUUAUCUCUUCUCUGAGAGUUCCACAUAAAGCAAAGUUGGUUAGAUAUCUUCAAAUAUGAUUUAAACCGUAAUUUUUGAUGUCAAUGAUAUUUGACAUGUUAAAUUGCAUAACAAUCAAAUCCAGCUUAUUUUUACAUUCAUGAGUAAUGACAUUUAUAGAAAAUAAAAGAAGUGACUAUUUUAUUGUAUUUUUUCCUUAGGUUUCAUAAAAAUUACUAGACAUCUGUAUCUACAUAAAACUGAGAAAUAUAGAUAUUUCAAAAUUUCAAAGGCUGAGACUUUAGUAUUCUUAUACCUCCAAAAUAUUCAUUUCAUCUCAGAUUGUAUACAUGCAAGAAAAGUGUGGCUUUGAAAAAAUGUAGGCAACCUACAUACAAAUAGAACUUCUAUAAAGAUUUAAAUUUUCCAUAAUCUUUAAUAUAUGUUCAGAGUGGUGUGAUUUUAAGUGUCAUUCAUACAUAGCUGUAUCUAGCAGUAGUUUUUUUUUGAAGAUUUGUAUUGUUACAUGUUUUAACUUGUUAAAAGAAUGUUUUUCUUCAAAAUCAAAUUAAAAUACGUUUGUAAGAGAUGAAUAUAACUGAAUUUCUAAUUCCUCAUAUGUUGUUUAGGUCACUUUGGAAAUAAAUAAUUGUCAUAUAGAUGCAGAAAAUAAAUUCAAAUCUGUGAUAAAUAAAUUAAAAAUAAAUUUAUCUGUAAUAAAGAGGAAUUUAAGUCAAUAAUUUGGCCCAAUGGCAGACUUUACAAUCUUUUCCACAAAAAGGGGAGAGAAGAUAUUUUGUUACUUUGGUAGUGAAUAUUAUUUUCUAUGCUUAAAACAAAAAUUAAUGUAAUAACUAAUAUCCUUAUUUUAAUUAUAAAUGUCAGGGUAAAAGACUUUUCUAAACAUCAUCCACAGAACAUGUGAAAGGAUAAAGUGUGAGUCAGACUUUUAUAUUUGUCUGACUAUAAUGUCAUUGCACUCUUUACCAUAUUGAUUUAAUGUGUUUGAUUCAAACAGGAUGGUGCAUGGCACAGCAUGUACUCCUGGGCACCCUGUUCAUUUCAGAGGACCCUACUGGUUCUCUGUGGAAGCACCUAAUUCCUAACCAACAGCCCAACAUCAGUCCUUAGUUAUACCAACUGUAGGAGAAAGAAACUAGUGCAAUGAAUAUACUCUUUCUGCUAUAUUACCUCUUUGUACUAAAUAUUAUAUUUCCUAAUAUUAACCACCAGGUUUUAAAAAGUUAUUUAUACUUCUUGGUUUCUUUUCUCAAGUUCAAAAAAUCUAUAAUUUGUACUAAAUUUGAGAUUCAAAUUCAUGGAUAUUAUGUUCUUAUCUCACUGGCUAAAGAUUAUCAAAUAAUUUACUGAAUUAUUAAUCUUCAUACGUGGCAAAUGGUGAGAUUUAUAUUUUAAAAACAUGAUUAAUAAACAUCUCGAUUUGUUUUAUAUUUCAUAACAAGGUGCAGUUGAUUCCUGCCACUCUUUAUGACAAAUGUAUAGUAACUUUCCUGGCAAAUCGGCAUCUUACUCAACAGGUGGUUAGUGGUCCAGAUUUCACACUUUUAAUGUAAGAAACUGGUUAAGCUGGUCUGUAUGAUUUUUGACUGUAUAAGGAAUAUUAAUUCUUAUUUAACUUAAUACAAGUUAGUAAUUACUGUCUCAAUAGCAGAAAAGUUAUAUUUUUUGUUUUGUUAUUAGAAUUUAGUACAAUGAUAUUGAAGUUUGGACAAUAUGAAUACAGCACAUGAAUUUGAAAAAGUAAUAUUACUAACCAUGUAAUACAUAAAAGUGGAACACAGUGAGGUCUUUUAAGAGCCUGACCUUUUUGAACUGGACUUGAAUGGUCCUAAUGUUCACAAGUUGCUGAUUUGGAGCCACACUGGGUUUAGCUCACAAAAGUGGUAUUUUGAAACAAAUUUGCCUUUAUACUCACAGUCAUACCCUUGGGAUAUGAAUCAUUUUCCAAGUAACAUUUCAACAUAAGGGAAGUGUUUAUCACAAGAUGAAAAACAAAAUAUUCAAUGAACACAAAGAUUCGGAGGACAUGCAUGAAAUCAUCAUUACAUUGCUAAUAGACAUGUUUUAUGGCUAUUCUUUUCUAUCAGUGCAAAAUAUAAAUAUAUAGAUGGGACUAAGUUAACAAAUGAGUAAGUUAAUUAUUUUAUUUCAGUUUAAGGCAAAUGAUGUAGCCAAACUGAUGAUUCAAAAAUGAAGAAAAUCAAAGAAUAAAAAACCCAAGUUGUGUAUGGUGCUGAGCAGAGAGAUUCCUAAUGAAUUUUUUGAGCUAUAUGAAGAUACAACUCCUAAAUUACAGGCUCUGCUUUUUGUCUAUCCUUAGUUGACUUGGCUAUUUUCUAAGUCAGUGCUCAAGGUCUUGUCAUAAAUAGAGUUAAACUUAGGCAACUAAAGUCUAAAGUUAGACAAUGCAAAAUUGUGGCAUUAUGGUAAAAUGCAAAUCACAUAGAGAAAAUGAGGAACUAGAAUAAUUUUGGUGGUUAUUUGUAUUUAUUUACUAAUGGGCUGAAAAAUAAAUGGAGAAUUCAUAGGCCUGUUUCUCUAAUUCUUGGGUCAACUAAAUAUUUUGCAAAUGGCAGAACCUCUAACAAUCUCAAAAUGUUCAUGUACAAGUUGAAAUUGAGCCAAUAAUCCCUAAGAUUCUAUCUAGUGCAAAAUUUUAUAAAGUUUUUCAAUUUUCAAAUAAUUCUUUGGAUUGAACUGAUGUUGAUUUUAAGGAUGUAUACAUGUUAUGGAAAUCUUCCCAAAAGAGUUGUAGACAUCAUAGCACAUUGAUAUAUGCAUAUCCAUGUUUACAGUGGCACAAUUCAUAAUAGCUAAAUCUCAGAAACAGCCUAAAUGUCCAUUAACGGAUGGAUAAAGAAAAUGUUGUGUUUAUACACAAUGAAGUACUACUCUGCCAAAAAGAAGAUAAAAUUGAGUCAUUUAUAGGUAAAUGUAUGCAACUCAAGAACAUAAUGCUAAGUGAAGUAAAUCAGAUGCCCGAACUUAGAUAUCACAUGGUCUCCCUUAUAUGAGAAUCUCAAUACAUAAAUAAAGUGCAAAGUGAGGAAUGGACAGUAGAAAAUAGUGAGCUGGAUCUGUGGUAUAUGAGAAGGAAACAGAAAGACAGUAUUUUGGGGACACUAAUUUUUAAAAAGGGAGAGGGGUUUGUGAAGAGCCGUGAGCAUGCACCAAGUCCCUUCAAGGGGAGGGAUCAUCAAAUAAUAUAUUUAUAUAUAUAUAUUAUAUAUAAAACAUAUAUUAUAUAUAAUAUAUUUAUAUAUAUUAUAUACAUAACAUAUAUAAUAUAUAUAUAACAUAUAUAUAUGUUACAUAUAUGUUCCAAGAGGUCCAGGGAGAGGGAGGGAAGCAAGGGAGAGGGUUAAAAAAGAAAUUAAGAAAUUUCAUAAAGGGCAGGGGAUUUAGCUCGGUGGUUCGGCUGCCUGCACUGCAAGCUCAAGGGUCUGAGUUUGAUCUCUGGUACCACAAAAAAGAAAAAAAGGAAAUUUUGUAAAUAUCAUGUAUGUGUACUACCUCCCCAUGAUGAAUGUAAUCAUGAUGUACUACAAAUAUAUACCAAGAAAAUUUUCUUUAAUUAGAGAAAGAAAGAAAAUCCUCACAAAAAAUGUUGAGGGAUCUCUGAAAUUAUAAACUAUGAGAUAAGCAGUAAUAUCUCUGUCUCCUUUAUUUAGAUAUUACUAAAAGGAAAAAAAGGUCAACACUAAGUUACAUUGUCCAGAAAGAAUGUUUUAAAUCUGAAAUGAUUUGAAAUCUUAAAUAGUCUAGAGAGAUGGACUAGAAAUAAACAAAAGAAAUGACUGAUUAUGAAAAAAACCCUAAUCUUGGGUCCAAAUAUCUUUUUAACUUAAAAUUUUACACAAAAAUUAUAUAUUGUUCUGGGGUGGAGAAAAGGAUCUCUUAAAAAAUUUUAUUAUUGGAGUAGAAAUAUUAAAAUGAAUACCAAUUUCUAAGUAUUUUUUGAAAGUGGACACAUGAUUACAUAUUUGGUGUGCAUUAGCUAUAUGUAUUUUGACUUCUUCAGUAAAGCAAUGUUUACAGGAAGUCUAGUUUGGACAUAUUUUUGAUAUAAUAUAUAUCAUAAAAUUGUUCUUUUAAAUAUCGGUACAUUUUAAAAAAUGUCAACGCCAGCUUUAUUAGCUGUUCUCUAUGAAAUAAUAUUCAAAUAUUUCAAGAAAAUAAGUUUAAACCCCCACCCGAUUCAGUAAAAUAAAGUUAAAUAUGAUAAGAACAGGUGUUUCAUUAGAAAUUUAGCCAGUGGUGCAUCUUAAGAUUCCCAAUGGCAAAAAUACACUGUCACAUAUUGACCCAUUGGUCAGUCCACGUUAUGCUAAGUUGUACUUGUUCCUGAACACAAUUCUUGCUCUUAUAUUAAGUAGGGAUGAAAAAAGAUUAUUUCUCUCGGUUUCUUUCCAAUAGGUAGAAUCCCAGAUACUAUUACAUUAGUGCCAUUUUACAGAGCCCGAAAAUUUGUACAGUGGAAUGCAUGACCCUCUUCUACAGCUAAGAUUGAAUUCUGAGUAUGUUUGGCAUUCUUUUUGAGCUGGACUUAACUGAACUGAGAAACUGGGUGAUGUGAUCACAGUAUCUCAGGGAUCUCUAAAAUAUACUGUAACUUAUUCAAAGCUAGGUUGAGUUUUCAUUUCUUCAUAACAUUCUCCACAUUUCACUGUGAACAUUUUCUUUGAUGGCUACACAUACGGAACAAUCUCUUUAUCUUUAAUAUAUGAGAGAUAUUUGAACAUUAAUGAUUUAUUGAAAAAUUAUAACCAUCAAUAAAUAUUAAAACCCAAUUGUAUGAAGAUUUUUGCAAGUGAUAUAGUCAGCUUCACCUGUCAGAUGAAGUCAAUGGGGCUAUAGUUAGGUGGCUUGAGGUCACAAGGUAGUAAGGCAGGGCUUGUAAAGUCAAAGCAGUCAGACUAGUGUGUUUCAUUGAUUUGAAUGCUAUAUUUCAGAUUGAAUUGAAAAUUUUAAACUUUUGUUCUCAUGCUUUUCCUUAUCAUUAUAAGUAUAUGCUUCAGGAUUUAAGGUGUGUUUUAUGUGCCUUGCACAAGAUUUUGAUCAACAGUGGACAACCUCUUAGCUACAUGUGCAUCAAUCCCCUCAGUGCUACAUAUAGGACAGCUCCAUUUUACUGCAUUAGCCAAAAUAUGUCUAAAAUUUUACAGUGAUCAAACCAUGGAAGUCUUUCCAUUUUUUUUUGUCUUAUCAGAUCCUUCCACUGCUUACUUUGACUAUGAAAAAAUGACAAGUUGGAGGAUGGUCUUGCUAUCCAGGGAUUCAAAUGUACUAUGUAUUUGAAGAGGCAAGAGUAGAGGUAAAUGAGAGAAAUAAAAAAAAAUAUUGGAAUAGUAUGGAAUAUGCUCCAGAAGAGUUUCUAUACCAAGUUACUCCACCUUUCCCCAUCACACUCUUGUCUUGUGUUUCUCAGAAGCAUUUAAUACUUCUGCCCAAGUUCUCCCAUAAGUUAUCAUAGCAUACUUAACCUCUGAGUUCAAAAGCUGCAGCCGAUGUUGCUCAGGAUGUGUUCUGCUUGUUCAAACAGUAUUUCCAUCCCCAUACUUGGAAAUACUUAGAGUCACACAGCUGUCUAUGUUUCUUGGCCUAUGAACCACCUUCCUAAAAUGAGUAUAUAAAUAAAAUUCUCAGGUGAGAUAAGUUAAUUAAACUAAACUAGAAUAGCCCAUCUCUUUCUGGCACCUUUAGUCAAGUAAACUGUCUAGAAGCAUCUGCCCAGUCCUGAUUGACCCAUCUGGAAAGAAUAGUUCUUGUUCUGUCACAGAGGUCUAAAAAAGAGACACAGGAAUGGGUAUUACAAACCUUCAGAUGUACCAACUGGCAUCAUUCUAUCGUAGGUAGGACUGCAGUUCCUCCCAUUUACCUUAUGAAUAAAAAAUGCAUAAUUUUAUUAUACUAAUUAAAAAAUGGUUUGCAGCUAAACCCAUUUCUGUAGAAAAUAUUACGCUGGAGGUGGUUCUUAAUGCUACCUUAUUGGUUAGGUCUAGUUUUUCUCUCUUUUAAGGUUUUCAAAGAACCCUGUGUAUGUGGUAAUUAUAUCCUUCACCAAAACUGUUGAAAUAAUGAACUGAUCUGAAUUUCUCUUAUUUGUAAAGGCUGUGUUAUAUUGAGGACUAGGUUUUAACACCAAGCCCCGCUCUGCUUGUCACAAAUCAGACCCCCUCAAACCACUAAGCUAUUUUUGAAAGGAAUUUAAAAAGAGUCAGUGUUAUAAAGUUUUGAUGUGGCUACUAUUUCUGAACAGUAUUUCCAAAAUCUGUGAUUAUUCUCUACUUCAGAGAGAAAAGGUCUACAUACAACCUUCAAAUUCUCUAAUGUUCAAAGGGGCAGACAGCGAGCUUCCUGCGUGAGCUAGUCCUUGAGUCGGCGUCCUGUGUUGGGCACAUCCAGACAUUUCCAUUCCAGUUCUGAUUGGGACAUGCCACCACGAAUGUUCAAUUAUUCCAGCAAUCUCAGUCUUGUUCUCCAGUUUGUCUUCUCUCCAGCUUGCUAAAUUCAGUACACUACAUUCUAAAAUUGAUUAUCAACAAUACAGGCAUAACUUUAUCUACAAGAGAUCUUUGUAUACCCUGUUCUCUGUCCUCUGAAAUUUUGCUCCAUUCUCCCACAUUUUUAUUGUCAUUGUUAAUGUCACUCAUUCUGGAAAUAUAAGAGAAAUUUUGUUAAGUAUGUAAUGUGUUCCAUGAGACUUUGUAUACCUCAGAUGUUUUUCUUUUUUUUGGAAGAAAAGGAGGCUUUUCAAUGAAGAUAUCGUCAUUGUAUUUUAAAGUGAAGUCUUUGACUGAAAUGGCAUGGAAGAGAUGCCUCCCUCAGCAAUAGUUUAGUCAAAUAAGCUGGGCCCAAGAAAAAAUAAUUAUUGGAUAAAGGAAAGUCACUAUAAAAUUAAUCUUUAAUGUGGAAACUAACUAAAAUUUUUUUCAUUAGCUCUGCUACUUUAAGUGUGUAGCAGUGAUGUAAUACAUGCAUACUUCUAUUGCCUUUUGCAAUUUAGCAAUAGAUAUACUGUGAAAGAUUGUCACAGAGUCCAAGGGGGCCCUCUGAACCCUUUCUAGUCAGACUUCCCUACUCAGCACCUUUCCAGUUUGUUAGAGUCCCAGCUCUUCUAGAACUGUGCAUGAUUACAAUAUUAAGUACAAUCAUAAUAUGGCUUUUAAUUUGUUUCAACUUAUUCAUUGCUUUCUGAGUAGCCCUCUUAUUAUCCCAAUGUCUAUGGCAUAUCCAUCAUCUAAGCCUACUGGAGCAUCAAUUUUAGACAGAAUAAACAUGCCUGAAAUUUUUAAAGUUUUUAAAGACAACAAUGUUUCUCAGGCUUAAAUUUAGAAAGAACUCUUUAUGGUUGCUAAUAUUUCAGGUACUAUGCAGACUGAAGCAGUCAUCAAAGCAAGCUAUGCAACUGCUAACAUAGGACAAGUAUGACUUAUGGAACUCAAUAAAAUUGCAAGUAUAUUCCCCUUCUCACUUUAAACAUUUCGUGGAGGAACAGAUCUUUUGCCUUCAAUGAAGUCUCUGCAGGCUUUGUGACUUUCCUUCCCAGUCCCAGAUCAAAAGAUGGGCCAGACGUAUUUCCUCUUUAGGUGUCAGGAUCAUUGGUAUAUCUGAAUGUUUGCUAAGUAAAAAAGAAUUUAGUAAUUUUAAAGUAUUAAGGAUUUCAGGAAUUACAGUCAGAGGGCACACACAUAUACUGUAUUUUUCUUUUUUCUUGACAAGUCUUCCUUUAUUUCACCAUUCUCCACCUAGUGAUGGCUUAAAUUUCUAUCUUCAUUUCAUUCUGUUCCUGAGCUCAUAUGCAUUUCUUCCUAUGAUCUUUUGUUUCUCUUAUUUCCUUGUAAAACUUACCCUUAAAUGUUUUAAAUGAGGCUGAAAGGUGAUUUGUCUGAGUGCAGGAGCACACAGGACAGGGUGAGUCAUAGGAGAGCAAAAAUAAAUUGACGAGUGUCUUAGAAAUAUAAAAACACAGAUCAGAAUUAAGAGACAAGCAAUAUGGAGCCAUUCUACAUUCCAAAGUAGAGAAGUGCUUAAUCUUAUUAGACAUUAAUCAGAAUCCAUAUUUGAGGACUUCAUUCUUGUGUUCUUAUGAAAAUUUCUUUUCAGUAAUGAUGUUAAAUUUCUAUUAAAACAAAGACUUUUCAGAACUAUAAAAAGUAUUUAAAAUAAAUCAGUCUUUUAUUAAUUUUCUAUGAAAUCUAGUAAAAUUUUAAAAAGAUGUUAUGAUAUGAAGUAAUUUUUAAAGGUAAAUGUAAUUCCCUGUUGAUGAUAAAACAUGUAAAUUAUGAGACCUACUUCUCCUUUUAUCUUACUGAUUUAAUUUUACAGAUCCAUUUAUUGCAUACAGAAAUAUUCACACACACAGAUUUGUGAAUCUAUUUCAUAUUGUAUUUGUAUUUUUCUUUACAAUAUCUUACCAGUGAUAACAUAUUCUUUUCUUAUAAUCUAUGAAAUUUCAAAAGAACUUAUUCCCACAUACUAAGAGAUUUUCUCCCAUUUUUUCUUUAUAUAAUUAAAAAUGUGUAUCUUUAUAUAUGUUCAAUAUAUCUUAUUUAAAAUACUUGAGAGUAAAAAUACUUUAGAUAUUUUUAGGUUUUGGAAUAUUUACCUAAACAUAUUGAGACACUUGCCUAUGGAUCCCACUGUUAACAUGAAAUUCUUUGAAAUUUCAUAUUUGCUUUAUACUCAUACUCUGAAGGUAAUCUUGCAUAAUACUUUUAGUGUACCUUUGUUUUGACUGCAAACCAUCACAUGAGGUCAUGUGGGAUUUUCUAUUUCUAAUAUGAUGUCAGCGCUCAAAAAUUUUGUAUUUUACAGGAUUUCAGAUUUCUGAUUUUCAAAUUGGGGAUGUUCAAACCUUACUACAUUAAAAGUUUUUUGACACCCUAUUAAGAAGUACUAUAUUGUUUUUCAUCUAUUUCAUGUUUUCUAAGUUUAGAAGACUGGCUGCCUUUUUACUUAAUCGAUUUACAUUAUUAUAAAGUACUUACACUUGAGAUAUACUGUAUAAUCUAAUAUAAACACUAUUGGGUACCAAUAUUUAAAUUUAGAAAUAAAUUUUCUAUAGAAAAGAAUUUAGCAAAGGAGACUGAAAGAUUGGCCAGGGAAAAAGGAAAGGGGGAUUCAAGUGAGAAAAAAAAAUAAGCAUGCACAUGUUUGAAAAAUGAGUGUUUUACUUCCAUCAAAGAUUAUUAAUAAAUCAAAUACCAUAAAGACACAAACUUGCCUAUUGAAUAGGGUAACAUGGAUGUCAAUGAUAAUCUUGAAAAGAGUGAAUUCAGCCUGUGAUUGGUUUGGGCAAGGAGAACGGUGGUUUUUGUUCAGAAGAGAAUGAGAUUGACUGUGUACUCCCUCUGAAAUCAGAACCCACUCACAUGAAGAGGGACCAGAAAACUAGCGUUAAGUAAUGAAUGUGUGGUAUACAGUGAGAGUUUUUAGAUAAUAUCAAGAUAUAAAACAUUCAGAUGCUGAUGCAAAUGUUCUAACAAAUUCUAAGGGGAAAAACUGAGGUCCAGUCAUUGUAGAAAAUUUAAUUUUGGCAAGAUGCACCAUUGUCUUUGUUUGCUUUUACAUUACUUAGUGAAGCAAACCAAGAAUAUUACCUAUGAAUAUGAAAAGAGGAAGUUGUGAUGGACAUGUAAACAGAUAAAUUGAAUAUAUUUCUCUGAAAAUAGGAGUGCAUUUAGACCAAAGAAAAUUAGAUUAUUCAUCUGUGUUGUUUAGCGAUUAAAUUGUGUUGAGAGAAGUCAAAAGGAUUUGCAUUCCACAUUCAACUCUUCUGGUACAGACAUUAAGAGGUGGAGGUGAAUUUCUUUAAAGGUAAAUGUGUGUGUGUGUGUGUGUGUGUGUGUGUGUGUGAAAGAGAGAGAGAGAAGAAAGUGUUUAUAAGAAAAUGAUUACUUUUAGAAGUCACAGAAUACUUGAAUAGGAGAAAUAUGGCGAUUUUAAGAAGAUUGGCAGUGAGAAAGUAUAAGCUCAGUGGGUUAGAACUCCUUGUAGAGACAGCUGACUUAUACAAAUGUGUUACUUGAAGAAAUUUUUGCAUUUCAUUAUUUUUAUUAACAUUUUAUCUAUAGCUCUUUGCACUCAUUUUCAAUAUAUACCCAUGUUAUCACAAUCCACUUCAUGUUACCAUUUUACUAUUUCAUUGGAUAAAGGAAGCAUGAACAGAAUAGUUACUGCUGUCCCAUGUUUUGUAUGUGGAGUUGCUGAUUUGCUGAGUUGCUGUGUUGAAGGGCUUGGUAAUUGGAAAAUGUGAAAUUGAUUAAAUUAUCUAAGGAAAAUUUUGAUUAUUUCUAAUGGUUUUGUGUUAAAUAUUUAAGAUUGAUUAUAGAUUUUUUUUAAUUCAAUGCUUAUAACUUGGAAAAUGUACUAUUAUGUUUCCCUAAUGAUUAACUGACUUCAUAACGGGAAUUCUGAUCACACUGGAUGACUAAGUGGCUAAAACAUUUGAAUUCUUAAGCAACACAGACUUGUUUUGAUUUAAUAGCCCUUAGCAGAAAAGAAAGGAGACCCUUGUAGGACAAUUUUUUUCAAAUAAUCUCAAGUAAUUUCCAUCUAUAAAAUGAUAUACUAAUAUAUGUAAAAUGAUUCACUCCAAAGCUCUAAUCUAAGACAUUUUUAAUGUGAAAAAUUAAAUUAUUUUUAAUAAAAUUUAAACCAUUAGUUUGCCUAGUGUGGAUACUGCCAUUUUCCUUGGGAAACUUGCCAUCAAUCUCGUAUUUGAGUAAGAGGAAGAGAGAGAGAUACAGAGAGAAGAGAGAGAGAGAGUGAGAGAGAGAGGGAGGGACAGGGACAGGGAGAGAGCAAGUGAAAAAAGGAGAAAGUAGGUUUUAUACCUUCUUUUCUUUCAAUCUCAGGCACUCUAAAAUUAUUUAUAUACAGCCGUUAUGUAUAGACACCAAAUCAUUUAUAGAUAACUUCUGAUUUAUGACUAUUAUUUUAUUACAAUACAAAUAUUAAAUAAGUUGAAAAACAAUACGCUACAAUUCUGUAACAUAAAGUAAUUCAAUUAGGUAGAAGUUAUAUCUAGAUUUGGAUAAUAUAAUUGAUUUGACAAAGGAAAUUUAGUCUUUAAAUAUACAAAUAUGUGCAUGCUUUUCAACUUUAAAAUGAAUCAUAUAUUGUUUGAUGAAAUAUAUUUAUAUAUAGUACAUAUAUGUCUAUGUAGAAGAUUAUUUUCUCACAUAGCACAUAAAACAAUGUGUGUGUAAAUUUAUAUGUUAACAUCCAGAUUCCUAUUUAAGGACAAACAAUUUAAGUAGCUGCUGUCCAAAUGAACAAAGUAUGUCUACAAACAACUUUACUUAAAGGCUACAUCUUAUCAUUAAUAUGAAGGUUAAAAAAGAUACAGUCCAAGAUGCCACUUACUUUUAUCUUUAAUUCUAGAAUCAUCUAUUUAGCAAAAUUAUUUCUGACAGUUGCUUCAAAUUUCAAACUCCGUACCCAAACUGCCAACACCUAACCUUUAGCUUCUUACUUUCUCAUAUGAUAUCAUGGAACUUACAGUUUCUACUCAGCCGUAGACCUACUCAUCUUGCUUAUCUGUGUUCAGGUGACUUUUUGCAUAAGAUCUAUCAGUAUGUUCAACUCUGGCUUUCCUAUGACAGCUUCAGAAUCAUGAUUAGGUGUCUCAUUUAUCUUUCUUGUCUCCUGAGUGCGCACUGUCUCUCUCUCUCUCUCUCUCUCUCUCUCUCUCUCUAUAUAUAUAUAUAUGUAGGAUGCAUUAGUUGAUAAUUUAUUCAUAUUCAAUAUAGGGAAUAUUUUACUUUACCUUUUACUUUACAUUUUAUUUAAAAAUUAUUUGUAAAAAUGACAUACUUAUUGUGCUGCUCAGGAGGCUCAUACUAACACAGCUACCUUCUGCAACAAAAUGAAGAAGUUAAAAAAAUCUUUCUGAGAUUCUGGGUUAGUACUCAUCUUAUAAAACAUUAAUUUUGGCUUUGAUUGAGAACAUUUAAUUUGUAGUCAUAUUUCAAAGUGGCUACCUUCUUGGAAAAGUUCCACUCAUUAUUCAAAAGCACUUAAAAGUAAAUUCCAAUGGGAAGCUGUCACUAUUUCCGUAAUACCGAGGUGCAUCUCACUUUGUGUUUUUGUGAUGCUUUGUAGCUGUGUCCUAUUUUGAUUGUCUCAUUCUCAUAACUGUUAACAUGUAUGUCACUUCCACUGUAUAUUAUUAACCUAUUUGGAAUAUUACAUUGCCUAUUGUUCUUGUUGACACUUGUGUCCUUGCCUUAAACAUUAAGAAAGAAAAGACCAUUAUUUCUUUCCAUAAGUCUUUCAUGAAAUUACAUUUUAAGAAGAAAAGAUGGUAUAUAUAUAUAUUUGUGUAAGAAGUUUUUAGCCAUAUAUGGAAAUUUAAAUAUUAAAUCAGGUCGAUAUGUAUAAUUGAAAUAUGACUAUCACUUACUUGCAACAAUCUCAUUGCUAUGAAAGUUUACAAAGAGAUUUUUGAGUAUUCAAAAAGAAGGCUUAAUAACAAUUGAAUAAUAUAAUGAAGCAGAAAUUAAAGACAAAGUAGAGAAUUGAAAGAAUAUAGGAUUAGUUGUCAAUGUAGUUCUUAAAUAGAAUUACAGGAGGCAAUAGUUUUGGACUGAUUUCCUUCACUAGACCACAAUAGACCAAAACAAAAUGGAGCUACUCAUGGUAAGCCACUCUGUGCUACCAAACUGAAACUAAAUUACUAACUUUCUGAGAAAACUAGAAGAAAAAGAAAAUGUAGUAUUGAUACACGAUGGGGUAUUGCUGAACAGUCGGAUAAACUUGAGUCAUUUUUAGGAAAAUGGAUGCAUGUUGAAAUUAUAAUGUGAAAUGAAAUAAAAUAUCACAUAUUUUCUCUUACAUGAGCAAUUCAAUAUAGGCAUAAAGUGAAAUGAAAGACAAUUAAUAGGAAAAAAGAGAGAGAAAAACUAUUUCUAUCUGGCAUGGACAAUAUAUCUAAAAGUGUACCUUAAUUUAAUAUAAUUAUCUUUUAUGUAUUUUAUAUGUUUUCUUCUAUUAGUCUUGUUAAUCUGCAUAUACAAUAAUUAACUUUAAAAUGGCUUAUAAGAUAAGUAAAUAAAUCUGAUACUGGCAAAAUAAAAGAGUGGAGGGGAGAGGAAAAUAAAAGAAUUGAGAUGUAUUGUGUAAAUUUCUUACAAAGAAUCCAAACAUUAUGUACUCUUAAUAUGUACUAAUAAGAAUUUAAAAUAAAAAAAUAAUAACCAGAUUUCUAAACAGCUCAGUUUAUCCUUCAUGAUAAGGUAAACCCUCCUUUAACAUUAAAAGGAAAGCAACCUGAAGUAAUAUGAAAUUGACCAAUGCACUUUUGUAUCACAGCUGUUCCUUUGUUUCUGCAAUUAUUACAGUUUAAUAACUGACUGUUCCUCCAUGCCCAGAUUAGCUGUUCCUAAAGAUUUAGAUGAAAUUCUUCUACCCAAAUUCAUGAAUUACCAAUAGAAACAAGUUAUAUUUUUAAACUAGAUUUGUGAUAAUUUUUGUCUCUUGGCAUAAUUAUACAUACAUAAAAUGGAUUGACUUUCAUUAUAAUAAUACAUGAAACAUUCAGAGGCUGCAAAGUAAUCUUUAUUAGAUAGUUUGGUUACUUUACAUCAUUUAUUAUUUGAUUCCCAAAUUGUUGUACUUGGCUCAGUUGGAACUUAUAUUUAAUUAUUUCUAUUUCAAAAUUUGGGGAUGAAAAUAAAAACGUUAAUGAGAAUAAAUAAAACAUGCUGUAGUUGUUAUUAACACGGAAAAUGUUUUAUUGGUAAUAUGUUUAAACUUUAUAAUAUGAAAGAUAUUUUAUAUUACAUAGCCUUUUAUAACACUCAGGAAUUUUCUGAGUGUUCCUAGGAAAAAUGGGAGAUAAAGAGGUGGCAAUUUUAAUUCAUUAUCAUUUUAUCCAAAAACUCAAGGCUUACUAGUAGACUUUUAAUAUGAAGAUGAUACACAUUUAUUUAAUAAUCAAGAGCUCACUAUUAGGGAAAUAAUAUAUAUAAAGGAAUAAAACGUAUCUUUUAAAUAGAGGCAACAGAAUUUAAUGUUAUGACAAUUAUAACAGAUAUAUGUUACUUGUGUAUCUUUGCUUUAUUUUAUUGUUCAUCAGGUGAUAUUUGUUCUUCAGGGAGUAAAAUCUACUAUUAGCAAUUAAGACCACUGGGUAAUACAUAAAAUAUAUAUUAUUUUUAAAAAAUUUAUAGACCUUUCUAAUUCAUCAUCUGCUCUCUAUGUGCAGUCCUAGAAGGCUUUGGUGGUUAGAAAGUAGUUGGAAACUGAUUCUUUAAGGACUUAAGGAGGAAGCAACUUCAGCUUUGAUAAGGAAUAAAUCUGCCAUAAAUUUCCAUAGAAUCAGACUGAAUUAAUGGUUUGAAUUCAAUGCCUCCAUAGUGAAUUCAUAUAAAUCUAAGGCUUUUAACAGUUGGAUAGGCAAACAUAAUUCACUGAUACACAAUCUUGUUAAUUUAUAGUAAUAUGGAAUAUUUUUAAAAUACAGAGAAAACAUUUAUAAUAAAACACAUAUUAUAAAAAUACUUAUAUUAUAAAAAUUCAAAUGCAUGUUAAAAAUGAAAGACCGAGGUAUUGUUCAGAAAAGUAGAAUAAAAGCCUUCAUUUCCUUCUUCCAAGAAAGGGACACAUGUGGCCAAAAAACAGAGGCUUCUUCUGAUCCCAGCUUCCUCACGAGCUGUGGUUCCACAGUGAGAGGAGCUGAGUUCCUCCUCUUCUUAUCCCACUGCCCUGUGCUGUGGAUCCUCUUGACCAGGGCACUGUGGUUGGGAAGUGUAUACUUUAGUUUUUCCACCAAAUCUCACAAAAUAGAUUUUAAAUCAAAAAUCUUGCUAAACAAGAAAGAUAUUUCUUAAUAAAAGUAUAUAUCAACCCUUCAAGAGGCUGAAAGUAUUCUAAAAUGUUAAAAUAGAACACAAAAAUGUGUGAAGCAAACACUUUUAGAGCUGAAGCAAGAAAAUGAAAUUGAAUAUUAACAGUUAAAGACAUCAGCGUACCACUGUCAGUAACGGAUGAGAAAAUGAGACAGAAGAUCAAGGAAAUAAAAGCUUUAUUCUAUAAAUAUGGGGCCUAAGACAUCUACAAAACACACUCAAUAGCACCAGAAUACUCUUCUUCUUGAACAUCCUCCAAGACCCUAUGAUAGAACAUAAUGGAAUACAAACAACAACAAAAAAUGUUGGUACUGGGGAUUGAACUCAGGGCCUUUUCCCAGAGCUUUGUACCCAGACCUCUUUAUUUUUAUUUUCUGUUUUAAGACUGGAUCUCACUAAGUUGCUAAGAUGGCAAGGUGGGGCUCAAACUUGGAAUCCCUUUGCCUCAGCAUACGAGAGUAGUGGGAUUACAGACAUGCACCCCACACUCCAGUAACAUAUAAAUCUUAAAUGACUGAAGUCUCAGUAAGUAUAUUUUCUCACAAAAAAUAAAUUAAAUAAAAAGAAGUAACAGAAGAACAUUUAAAAAAUUCUCAAGUAUGUAGAAAUUAAACACACUCUCAGAAAUAACCAGUGGGUCAAAGAAGAAAUGACAAAAUUUUAAAAAAUCAGAAGGAAAUAGAAAUGGUACUACCGCAUAUCAAAAUUUAUGGAAUACAGGAAAUUUGCCCCAGGAUGGCAAUUCAUACCUCUAAACGUCUAUAUUAAAAAGAAGACAGAUCUCAAAUCAAUAACCCAAGCAAGCAGAAAAAAAGAACAAAUGAGAAAAAAGCUAGCAGAGGAAGAAAAUAAUAAUAAUUUGAGGAGCAAUUGCUACUAUAAAGAACAGAAAAGCAAUACAGAAAUUAAAUAAAACCAAAAGUUGCAUCUUUGAAAAGAUGUACAAAUCGACAAUUUUUCAGUGAAAAUGACCAUGAAAACAAGAAAAGAGACACUAAUUACUAAAAUUAGGAAUAAAAGAUAGAUCCACCACUAUGCAACUUUACAAAGAUAUGAAAGAAUUCCAAACAAUAGUAUAAAUAACUUUAUGCCAGAAAAUUAAAUAAUUUAGAAAAAAAUAGAAAAUUUCCUUGAGAUCCAGCCUACCAGUACUGAGUCACAAAGAAAUUUUAAAAAUCCUAUAAAGCUAUAACAUUAUAGAAAUAAGACUAGCAUUUUGAAAACUUCCCAUACACAAAAGGCCCUGACCAAGAAGUCUUUGCUGUUAAUUUUUAUUGCAUACUAACUCCAAUCCUCAUAAACCCUUCUAGAAAAACAGAAGCAAAGAAAACCUUCCAUAUUCAUUCUAUUAGUUGACAUAACUUUGAACCAACACCAUAGAAUAUUCUAAAAACAAAAUACCCAAAAAACAAAUAAAUAAAAAGAAUAUCAAGGCCAAAAUAACAAAGCCAAACAUAAUUGCAGCUUGAUGUCCUUAGAAUUAAAAAAAUGAACUUCAACAAAUGUUAGUGAAUUUAAUUUAGGCACGUAUAAAAAGCAUUAAGUACCCAAAGUAAAUGCCAUUUAUCCAGAAAUGAAAACGUAUAUUAUAACCAUAAUAUGCAGAAAAACAUUAACAAAGUUAAUUAGUUUUUCAAGAAUAAAAAACAAACAAAAUUCAGCAAACUAAGGGAACUUGAAUAAAGGACUUCCUCAAAUAAGAGACAUUUUUGAAUACCCACGCAGUGUCUAAGCAAUGCCAUCCAUGAGUGCUGCAACAGGCUGGGCUAUUCAUUACCACUGAAAGCUCUAAAAGGUUUGCCAUCAUUGCGCCAGAGGUAAAGAUGACGUUUGAUUUCCCUAUAUUAUCAGUGUACUAAUGACGGACACCCACAUAUCUAGAAGCAAUUAUUUGAAAAGCAACCCAACUGUGUAAUCAUUAGUUGGCAAAGGUGAUGGAAAUGUUUGUUUAAGUAAACAUUCUGAUGAUGUUUAUCAGUAUUUCUAAGUGCAUCAUGGAGGAGACCUUGCCCACUUAUAUUCCUACUUUCUAAUUACAAGAAAAUUACAGAGCGAAUAAGUCCAUGAUCUAUGUUAAGUAAGAAAGAAUUAUAUUGAUCUUGUGUUAAGUGAAGAAAAAUGUAAAUACACUGGAUCAUAAAAUACACUAAAAUAGUUCUUGGUCAUCACUUUACCUGGAAUGGAGUUAUACAUUUUCAAAUCUAUUAAAUAUGUGGCAUAUUACAUUUAUGUUCUAAAACUGGGUAAAAUGUUUCUUAGCUUUUAUUUCAGAUAGAACUACCUUCCAUCUGCAAAUUUCCAGGAAUCUUGAAAUCUGUAGAAAGAAUAGAAGCUUUUCUAGCUUGCAUUCAGUAAAUCUUUCCCUGUAGGACAUCAUUUUUCAGUCUUCAAUCCCAUUGUAAUAUACUGUCUUCUGGUAAAAGUAUAUGUGUUUGCAUAAUAUUUAUCAAAUCUUAAAAUUGUCUCCUUUAAUUAAGUUUUCUUUUAUUGUGUAUAGUAAGACAUUCCAUGUGGCUUGUAUUUAAUGUCAGCUGUUCAUAAGGUAAACACAACAUAGUUUAUGUCUUAAAAAUUUCCAACACCAUUCUUUCCCAGAAAGUUUGAAAUGGAGUUUACUACCUGGUUAGGUCUUUCAAAAGAAACUCUAAAGCUAAGCUGCAAAACUCAAAACAACCACACGAACAAGUCUUCUUUAAAAAGUUUUCAGGUAAAUUUUACUAUUAUUUAUAACCAAGCUUUUUUUUUUUUUUUUUCAUUUUCAUGUCAGGUAGGGCAUCAGUUAUGAAACUAUUUUGUGAAAAAUUAUUAUAAUUUGUAAAAGUAUAGACAACUCAUUCCUUUUUGAUAAAAUUAAGUAGUAACAACUUUUAUUUCUACAAUUCAUAUAACAUCAAUUUAGACUCUCUAAAUGAAUGUACACAAAAUGACACCUUCUGUAAUGAAUUAAUUUAGACACUCUAGUUUCAAAGAAAAGGUGGGGCCAAAGUAUAUGGACUAUUGAAGUGAGGGACAUGUAAUGAUGAUGACUCUAUGUUUAAUAUUUAAGUCAUUUAUUUCAUACUGACGAGAUACUAGAGCCAUUUGUCUUAACUCCUGGCUUUUGAAGACAUGAAACACCUACUUUAAUUAGAGAAGCAAUAAACAUGUACAUAGAUAAAGAGACAUAAAUAUUAGUGAAAGAGUAGAUGUAAGUUCACGGAUAUAUUUAGAAAUAUGUUACACAUAUAGAUGAUAUAAAUAUGAAUAUCUGUAUAGAUUGAUAAAACAUAGAAAUAUUAUUAUAGAUAAUGUUGAGCAUAAAAAAAUCAACAUGUCAGUCUACAAAGCUAGGGAAACAUGGUGGCUCAGUCCAUUAUAUUGACAAUUUUCCUUUUAGAUAAUUUUUUCUUUCAUUGUGACAUUAAGUGUUGUCAGUAUAAAUAAGUUGCUAAAAAGAAUACUUCAAAUAUCACAAAAGUUCAAAUACUAAAAGUAUUAAUAAAAUAUGCAUUUGAUGUUGAUGUUGCAAAUUGUGCAGAAAGAUAUAUCUUUUCUCCCCUAAAGAAAUUUUGUGUAUUUUUAUUUUCAAUUAGUGUUUUUAUAGACUGUUUGUUUGCAUACAGUAUUGUUCUUCUGUCUAACUUCAAGCCAUAAAACCUUUAUGACCUUUAUGUUUUGAAUCCAACAAAAUAUGUAGUAUAUCAUUGCCAACAGCAAUACUUUUAUACUGAAAAACUACCUGAUAAAUUUAGUAAAAAAUGAUUUAAUUUAAAUAUCAAAAUCUCAUUACUUAAAACUUGAAAAUUAUUACAGUAUACUUAGUAAGUAGUAUUUAUAAAAUAUUUAGUUAUUAAUUAUAUUAGGCAACAUUUUAUGGAAGUAUGAAAAUUACAAAUUUGAGAAUUAAUAUUAACCUUUACUUCAGAUAAGCCUUAACAUUAAGUUCUGCAAAUAUACUAUUAGACAAGUCAUAGGCCAUUGCAAAAAAAAAAAAUGAGUGGAAAAGCCUGACCUUCACUUGCUUGCUUAUUAAUUUGGGAUCUCAGAUCCUUUUUGAUAGGUCUCCCACCACCUCAGCAGCUAUUAAGUAUAGUAGCUGCCCUCUUCCUAUGGUGCCUUGCCACCUCCCCUGUGUGACAUCAUGCCAAGAUGGUUGCUCCCACCAAAGAACAAACCCUUCUUCCCAGCAUGCCCCUGUUCCCACCUAGACAGUAACCUAAUACUCGCUCACCUCCUACCACCUAGUGACA
ensembl:lncRNA